CAACAUUCAUAAUCUAAGAGAGUACUACAACAUUUUACCUUUUCCCAUUACUCAUGAAAUUCAGGUUCAAACUUAGAUUUUGGGUAUCGACUAUUCACAAAACCUGAUUUACUUUUACCUAAUAGACCUAUUCUUAUAGAUCAACUUCACAAAGCAUAGUUAUCUGAGCCAGUUAGCUGAAGAGAAAUGAGCAAGCUACCUGGUGUAUCA
rnacentral:lncRNA from 1 species